rnacentral:rRNA from 5 species
AAUCCAUAGGUUAAUGAGGCGAACCGGGGGAACUGAAACAUCUAAGUACCCCGAGGAAAAGAAAUCAACCGAGAUUCCCCCAGUAGCGGCGAGCGAACGGGGAGGAGCCCAGAGCCUGAAUCAGCAUGUGUGUUAGUGGAAGCGUCUGGAAAGGCGCGCGAUACAGGGUGACAGCCCCGUACACAAAAGCGCAUGUGCUGUGAGCUCGAUGAGUAGGGCGGGACACGUGGUAUCCUGUCUGAAUAUGGGGGGACCAUCCUCCAAGGCUAAAUACUCCUGACUGACCGAUAGUGAACCAGUACCGUGAGGGAAAGGCGAAAAGAACCCCGGCGAGGGGAGUGAAAAAGAACCUGAAACCGUGUACGUACAAGCAGUGGGAGCACCCUU